rnacentral:rRNA from 1 species
CCUACGGGAGACAGCAGUGAGGAAUAUUGGUCAACGGGCGCGAGCCUGAACCAGCCAAGUAGCGUGAAGGAUGACUGCCCUACGGGUUGUAAACUUCUUUUAUAAAGGAAUAAAGUGAGGCACGUGUGCCUUUUUGUAUGUACUUUAUGAAUAAGGAUCGGCUAACUCCGUGCCAGCAGCCGCGGUAAUACGGAGGAUCCGAGCGUUAUCCGGAUUUAUUGGGUUUAAAGGGAGCGUAGAUGGGUUGUUAAGUCAGUUGUGAAAGUUUGUGGCUCAACCGUAAAAUUGCAAUUGAUACUGGCAGGCUUGAGUACAGUUGAGGUAGGCGGAAUUCGUGGUGUAGCGGUGAAAUGCUUAGAUAUCACGAAGAACUCCGAUUGCGAAGGCAGCUUACUAAACUGCCACUGACAUUGAUGCUCGAAAGUGUGGGUAUCAAACAGGAUUAGAUACCCCAAGU